CUUGUGAACUCGUUUGACGUGGCCCAAGUACGGUUCCAAUCCAAAGAACGCAAGUUACCAAGAACGCCUAAAAUGCCCGGAUGUGUACUUGAUCCGCCAAUAUUAUCGAGGAUGCAUAGGUUGGUGACUUGUUCAGCGAGAACGCAUCUGAUAUCCAAGAAGUAAUUUCAAGAUUUCAGGAGAGAAGGUAAAACUCCACAACUGUAGCACUCUACCAUGGCCAAAACAAACCCGCAAAUGACCGCAUCCUGGUAAAGCAUUUACCGUAAUGGCUGAUACCUGCUGAUUCGCCAAGUUCUUCUGAACACAGUAAAAAAAAAAUUGUGGGGCUACCACAAACACAAUGGAUGUGGGGACUACAAACAUAACAAGAAUGAGGCGACUCAGAGUAAGGUGACCACAUCCAAGGAAUAGGGUUUGCUAUGUAGGGAAUAUUGUUAACUAUGUAGCUGGGUUCGCUGUGUAGGGAGUAGGAUGCCAUUUGGAAGAAACACACUAAUAGAAUCAACUCCCCCACAGAGGUUUAUUUCACAUCACUUGGCCUCUUUAAUGUGAUUUGCAUGGGUCUGCUGUCUGCUUGAGGCUCCACUGUCCACCACAAAUGCUUUGCUUAUUAUUAAAGGGUAAAUUCACUAUUUUACAAGUUGGUGCUUCAUCGCCUGAACAUAUUACAGUAUGGGCCUAGAUAAACUGUAAUCCAUGGUUUGGUUUUCUUUAAACAGCCAUUAGAAACUUCAGAUACCCUUUGCCACAACAAUCUUAAUAUAUUUUUUGUGACAGUCAAAUAAAAUUAUGCAUAAUCAAAGUGAGUAAGAGUCUGCUCAGAAUGUUCACCACAGUGUAAAAAGUCUGUUAGGCUGGCCGGAAUGUUUACCACAGUGUAAAAAGUAUUUGUGAGGCUGGCCAGAAUGUUUACCACAAUGUAAAAAGUCUGUGUGAGGCUGGCCAGAAUGUUUACCACAAUGUAAAAAGUCUGUUUGAGGCUGACCAGAAUGUUUACCACAGUGUAAAAAGUAUUUGUGAGGCUGGCCAGAAUGUUUACCACAAUGUAAAAAGUCUGUGUGAGGCUGACCAGAAUGUUUACCACAGUGUAAAAAGUAUUUGUGAGGCUGGCCAGAAUGUUUACCACUGUGUAAAAAGUAUGUGUGAGGCUGGCCAGAAUGUUUACCACAAUGUAAAAAGUAUGUGUGAGCCUGGCCAGAAUGUUUACCACUGUGUAAAAAGUAUGUGUGAGCCUGGCCAGAAUGUUUACCACAUAAUGUAUAGGCUCUGUGUGAGGCUGGUUUCCUGGUUUCUAACCCCAGCAGGACUAAUGGGAUCAGCAACACUGUGCUCUAUUGACUGGCUUAACUCUGUCUUAAUCCAUCCUCCGUGUUCAGCCGCUCUGGUCCUACUCCCUCCCUCUUUACCUCCCUCUCUCUCCCCCUCUCCCUCUUUUUCUCCAACUCUCCCAAUCCCCCUCCAUCCCUCCAUGUCCGUCUCUCUUCCUCUCUCCCUGGGCUCCUGCCUCUCUGUCCCCCCCUCAGCCUCCCGCUCUCAUUCUUAAACACACAAACUCGUUACGCUAGCUUCUCACACAUUUGGUUACCUGGAAUCACCACAUCCCCCUACAAACGCAACUAAUUUUCCCUAGGCCUGUCCGACAUGUGGUCCACAACUCCUCACACAAGGGACCAGGGUGGUUUGUAAGAUCCCCCCCAACCGCCCCGUACCCACCCUUACCCACCUUCCCCUAACCCAAGAAACCAGACCACCUUCCCCCCUGCCUGCUGUACUCUCUCCUGACCCUCCAAGGCUUGGGCACAACGCUGGUCCUCAGAGUGAGCAAAUGGUCUGGAUCUCAAUGCAGAGACUUUGCCCCAUAACCUGCUCUGCAACUCGCCCGGCUGACGGAUGGUGUGUCUAUUCAACCACGGAUCCACAGUUUAACCCAGCGCGGACCAUCUGUACAUCAUCAUUCAUUCAUAAAUUCUCCCUCAAUCCCACACUGUCUUUCACUUCUCAACUGUGGCAGCAGUUUAUCUUCCCUUCACCAUGCAUAACGUCAGCUCUUCACAGUUGUCCUCGGUGGCCCGGUGGACUUCACAAAGGGGGCUGGCUGCGUUGUUGGAUUAUCACACAAGCCUGCAGCCGCUCCAUCUCGCAAUUUCCAAAUGUUGCUUUUGUUCUGAGUGAAUAGAGAGGUUGAGAGGAGGCAGACAUCAGAGAGUCCCACAGUGCAUCAGCAUUAACACAGACAGUCUUCUACGGGGCUGCUCCAUGCCAAGGUGGUGUCGUGUUUGGGUGUGUGCACAUACGUACGUGCGUGUGUGUGCUUGGGCCUGUGUGUAGGAGUGCAAAUGUACAUGCGUGUCUGUUUGGCUGAUACAUCUCUCACCUCUGUGCAUAAAUGGACUGCUUGGUUACAGUGUCUGUGGCGGCUGUGAAAGAAUAACUGGAGCCUACAAAUCAAUAUGACUGAUUUAUUUAUGGUUGUAUUGACCAUUUAUCCAUUAGAGGUGAUGGAGAGCGAAAGAGGGAGAGGAAGAUCAACCUGAAUAAGACUGACUCCAUGCUGUUGCUCAUAAUAUUUUGUUUUAUUGGGAGAAUGCAUUUCAAAACACAAAUUAAUCUUAAAUUAAAAGUUAGCCUUCAUAAAAUUGUACAAUCAAGUAUAUCAAUUGAAAGUGCAAAUUCAGGAAUCUGCUCAGUGUUGGACUGCAGAUAAUAAUAAUGAUAUUAUAAUAUUUUGGAGACAGCAUUAUUCUGUCUUGUAUUAACUUUAUGUAUUAGUGGUCCUGAAUAAAACCCUAAUUCUUGAGAAUAAAUUGUCGCACUCUGAAACUGAUCCAUAUAGGACCAAUCAAUAGUGAGGAAACAACAAUCAGUACAGGAAGGGAAUCCAAUCUGUAAGUGGCUUACAUGUUAAGGGUCAUGGUCGGCAAAUUAGCGUGCUGAUGGGUCAGUGGGAAAGGUCGUGGCCUACAGGAAGAAUGGUCAUGGUUCAGUUUCUGCAGGCAUAGAAACACAAGGUCA
ensembl:lncRNA